GGCUAACUCUGUGCCAGCAGCCGCGGUAAUACAGAGGGUGCGAGCGUUAAUCGGAUUUACUGGGCGUAAAGCGCGCGUAGGUGGUUAAUUAAGUCAAAUGUGAAAUCCCCGAGCUUAACUUGGGAAUUGCAUUCGAUACUGGUUAGCUAGAGUAUGGGAGAGGAUGGUAGAAUUCCAGGUGUAGCGGUGAAAUGCGUAGAGAUCUGGAGGAAUACCGAUGGCGAAGGCAGCCAUCUGGCCUAAUACUGACACUGAGGUGCGAAAGCAUGGGGAGCAAACAGGAUUAGAUACCCUGGUAGUCCAUGCCGUAAACGAUGUCUACUAGCCGUUGGGGGAUUUGAUCCUUUAGUGGCGCAGCUAACGCGAUAAGUAGACCGCCUGGGGAGUACGGUCGCAAGACUAAAACUCAAAUGAAUUGACGGGGGCCCGCACAAGCGGUGGAGCAUGUGGUUUAAUUCGAUGCAACGCGAAGAACCUUACCUGGCCUUGACAUAGUAGAAACUUUCCAGAGAUGGAAAGGUGCCUUCGGGAAUCUACAUACAGGUGCUGCAUGGCUGUCGUCAGCUCGUGUCGUGAGAUGUUGGGUUAAGUCCCGCAACGAGCGCAACCCUUUUCCUUACUUGCCAGCAUUUCGGAUGGGAACUUUAAGGAUACUGCCAGUGACAAACUGGAGGAAGGCGGGGACGACGUCAAGUCAUCAUGGCCCUUACGGCCAGGGCUACACACGUGCUACAAUGGUCGGUACAAAGGGUUGCUACACAGCGAUGUGAUGCUAAUCUCAAAAAGCCGAUCGUAGUCCGGAUCGCAGUCUGCAACUCGACUGCGUGAAGUCGGAAUCGCUAGUAAUCGCGGAUCAGAAUGCCGCGGUGAAUACGUUCCCGGGCCUUGUACACACCGCCCGUCACACCAUGGGAGUUUGUUGCACCAGAAGUAGGUAG
rnacentral:rRNA from 1 species